rnacentral:rRNA from 1 species
UACGUAGGGGGCAAGCGUUGUCCGGAUUUAUUGGGCGUAAAGAGCGUGUAGGCGGCUUGGCAAGUCCGCUGUGAAAACUCGAGGCUCAACCUCGAGACGUCGGUGGAAACUGCCUGGCUAGAGUCCGGAAGAGGAGAGCGGAAUUCCUGGUGUAGCGGUGAAAUGCGCAGAUAUCAGGAAGAACACCCGUGGCUAAGGCGGCUCUCUAGUACGGUACUGACGCUGAGACGCGAAAGCGUGGGGAGCGAACAGG